rnacentral:rRNA from 1 species
CACACUGGGACUGAGACACGGCCCAGACUCCUACGGGAGGCAGCAGUGGGGAAUAUUGCACAAUGAGCGAAAGCCUGAUGCAGCAACGCCGCGUGAGGGAUGACGGCCUUCGGGUUGUAAACCUCUUUUAGCAGGGAAGAAGCGAAAGUGACGGUACCUGCAGAAAAAGCACCGGGCUAACUACGUGCCAGCAGCCGCGGUAAUACGUAGGGUGCAAGCGUUAUCCGGAAUUAUUGGGCGUAAAGAGCUCGUAGGCGGUCUGUCGCGUCUGCUGUGAAAUCCCGAGGCUCAACCUCGGGCUUGCAGUGGGUACGGGCAGACUAGAGUGCGGUAGGGGAGAUUGGAAUUCCUGGUGUAGCGGUGGAAUGCGCAGAUAUCAGGAGGAACACCGAUGGCGAAGGCAGAUCUCUGGGCCGUAACUGACGCUGAGGAGCGAAAGGGUGGGGAGCAAACAGGCUUAGAUACCCUGGUAGUCCACCCCGUAAACGUUGGGAACUAGUUGUGGGGUCCUUUCCACGGAUUCCGUGACGCAGCUAACGCAUUAAGUUCCCCGCCUGGGGAGUACGGCCGCAAGGCUAAAACUCAAAGGAAUUGACGGGGACCCGCACAAGCGGCGGAGCAUGCGGAUUAAUUCGAUGCAACGCGAAGAACCUUACCAAGGCUUGACAUACACGAGAACGGGCCAGAAAUGGUCAACUCUUUGGACACUCGUGAACAGGUGGUGCAUGGUUGUCGUCAGCUCGUGUCGUGAGAUGUUGGGUUAAGUCCCGCAACGAGCGCAACCCUCGUUCUAUGUUGCCAGCACGUAAUGGUGGGAACUCAUGGGAUACUGCCGGGGUCAACUCGGAGGAAGGUGGGGAUGACGUCAAAUCAUCAUGCCCCUUAUGUCUUGGGCUUCACGCAUGCUACAAUGGCCGGUACAAUGGGCUGCGAUACCGUAAGGUGGAGCGAAUCCCAAAAAGCCGGUCCCAGUUCGGAUUGAGGUCUGCAACUCGACCUCAUGAAGUCGGAGUCGCUAGUAAUCGCAGAUCAGCAACGCUGCGGUGAAUACGUUCCCGGGUCUUGUACACACCGCCCGUCAAGUCAUGAAAGUCGGUAACACCUGAAGCCGGUGGCCUAACCCCUUGUGGGAUGG